GAAAAAGGAGCUAAAUAUCUUCAGUCAGAGGAGCUGGGCUGACCAGAGGCUGUAGCCCCUGCCCCACCUCCUCAGUCCCCUCCACCAUGUCUGUGGGUCCCUUUCAUCCCAAUCUGCAGAACAGAUAGCAACGUGACCCCACCCCAUUCCACCCCCGGAAGUCAGCAUUCUGCUUCCGGAGGCUGGCUUCCCAGAGGAGGUUCCUGUUAAUCCGGGGGUGCACUCUCCAGGAAAGGAAGUCCUGUGAUUGGGAGGUGGUGAGUGGACUCUGGGAUUCCUGGUAACUGGCCUGGCCCCCUGCCCAAUCACACCUGUGCUGGAGCAGGCAGAUCAGCUCCUGCCUCCCCAAGGGCUGUCCUGCUGGCCUCUUAGAGGUGAGCGGGUCAUCCAGGUGCUCUGUGCGGUUGCUCCCCUGAGUUCAGGGUUGUCCUCACCUGGUUACUACCCACCCCCUCCCAUCCCCCUGCUUCAGUGCACUCUGGACUCCCAUCCUUUACCAUCUGCAUUUUUUUACCUGGGGACUUCCUCUCUCCAGUGGACAAAAGUGCAGGGGAAUUAACCACCUCCCUCCCAGCAGCCUUUAACCAACAACUGACAGGAUGGGUGUGUAAACAACCGGCUUCUCCUCCUCAGGUGGGAUUACUCAGAGGGAUCUCCUUGAACUAAGAGCUCUGCCACCGCUGCUCAGGAGCUAGAUGUCCAAACUACCAGGCACUGACUGGGUUCAGCUAAGUCACUGGACAGACCAGAAAGCUGCAAACUGUGCCUCCCCCUGCCCUUUGUCUCUCCCAACACAGGUGAAGCUAAAUGAAGCCAGUUCCCAGAGACAGAGUGUUCCUGGGCACAGGGCCUCUGUUCUCCAAGGUGCAGGCCUAGGAAAAAGCCAGUGCAUUCCUCCUGGUCCCACUAACUGGAAUUACUGCUGGAUCCAAGUGCAGUUGACUAAUUAUGUUAGCUAUUGAAUUAAGUUGUCUAAUUCCUGCAUUUACAGUGGGAAAAUCUAAAAUAGUUGGUUCUAUGAAUGUAUGCAGAGAAAGUUGCCCACCUUGGGUCUGUGACCCCCAGCAGGAAGGACAGGAUCCCACCCUGGUUUACCUGGGGCUCACUGAGACCCCCACAUUUAUCUUCCUACCCAUCCAUUUGCCAAGUCCAACCCUUGUGUCUCUGGGUAAAAUACACUAAAGAAAUAGAAUUUUGUUUUGUUUUGUUUUGUUUUGUUCUAUUUUCGUGGCAAGAAGGAUCCUUGAUGGAAACUGGAUCUGUAAGAAAAAUAAAAACAGAGCCAUUAGCAUCGACAAUACUCUCUGGCCCCGGAAUUCUGGUGGCUUUCCAGUUUUAUAGCCUCAGCGGUGACAGUUUAGCAGCUAAGAUCCUCCUGUGGAAAAAUAAAUUAUUUAGGAUUCAAAUUUCUUCCAUUCAUCAUGUCCACUCUUCCUUUUGUCCAAACACAGCCUCACAGAGACUGUUUUUUUUUUCCCUUCAGGCUGUAAGGAGCUUAUGCAAAGUGCUUAGCAUCACUGUGCUUGGUCACUGUCAGUGUCUUCUGUGUCCUCUCCCUGCUCCCAGGGCCCCCAGCAGCUGUGAUGGAGCCUUGCUCUCCCAAAGCUAGACCAUGGUGGUGAGUUUUACUACAUUCAGUGCCCAAAAGGAGAGGGGAUGCAGCCCCUUUCAUUUUAGCGCAGCAUCAUUCACUGGUGGGAUGCUGAGAGAGAGAGGCUCACCAAGCUUUAGGAAAGAAAAUUCUAGAAAGAUCUCCCCCAAGAGAGGAGGCUUUGCCACUGUCAUCAGAUGGUUCUUCACUUUCCAGACUGAGAAGAACACCAAACUGCUCAUUUCCCUUCCAGAGUCUAAGAGCAGAGCCUGCGAGACUCAGGAUGACUCAGCAAACCCCCGUAAUUCAUCCCUGCCCCUCCGCUCCCCCAACACACACGUGCACACUGAGUCACACACCCUCAGGGUGGCUUUCAGUGGCUAACGCACUAAAGCCAGAGAUGUCUCCAGGCCAAUAGAACUGCGCUUUGAAAUUCAUCCUGCACUGGCUACCACAUCAACUUCUUAAAACAUUCUUGCCUGUUGCAGUGGGUGCUGCUGGCUGCUUUCCCCAGAUCCCUCCUCUUCCUUCCCAGCAGGGUUUUAGUGCUCCCCUUCUUUGUCCAGCCUUCUCCUAGACGGAAGCAGUCCCAGCCCUAGGGGCAGAGCGUCGGGGUAGCUGUAGAUUGGUCUAAUCCAGUCAUAGUAAUCCAAACCCCUGCGCUAGUUGUUUGCUUAAGAAGGGGCAUGAGAUCCAAUUCAGGGGCAUGUCACUCCAAUCAGGGGGCAAGUAUACUGGGGAGGGGGCUCCUGGGAAAAAUUUCUUAACUCAAGAAGAGACACAAGGAAAGGUGGCCUUUCCAUCCCCCACCCCUCUAGCUUUUGGCGGUCAGGUGUGAGGAUACAAUUCUGGGGGCUCCUCUAGACUUCUGCACAGGAGGGAAAGCUCUGAUGGUGUCAGAGCCGGAAGCUGGAAAAGUCCCCAGGUCUCUGAUGACACUGUUGAGUUACAGCCCUGACACUUCCCAACUGUUCUGUUGUUAUCUGAGAUGAUCUCCUUAUUAUCAUUUUGAAUUCUGUUUUCUGAAGUUUGCAGCACCAAGUAAUCUCACUCAUAAUCCACUUACAAAUCAAGUCUCAAAAUGCCUUGCAGCAUUUGGAAACCUACCAGUUUUUACCCUUUCAUUUUAGAACUGAAUUAAAGAGAGUGAUGACACUGGCAGAAUAUUUUUUUCAGUUUACAAAGCAGCUUAACUGUGGGAGAUGGAGAUGGGUGCUGGUGCCAGGAUGGGAGAGCACAUGUUUGUCUGCCCACAUUCAGCAGGGAACAGGAGAACAAGCAGAAAGGAGGCUGCUGGAUCCUUACAAGCAGAGGUCACAGCCCUGCUCACCAGUCCCUCCCACUGAGAUACAUCUCUUUGCCUUUUUCUACCUGUGGACACUUGUUGACCUGAGUCUACAUGUUCUCCUUGUCUCUGGAAACUUACUGGGAUCCUGCAUGCUCACUGAGACCCAGAGGAGACCCAGAGCAGGUCUUCUCCACAGGCUCCCUCCUUCACUAUCAGACUUCUCAUCUUUGGCCUCAGUUCCUGGCCCUCUGCUUUCUCCCUACGUCAUCUCAGCCGCUGCCUAGGACUUUAAAUCUCAACAAUUGCUGAAGACUCCUAUGUUCACAGCUAAGACCCACCUGUCCUGUGACCUCCCUCUAUUCCUCUGCCUAUGUGACAUUUCCACUUGGUUGGUCAAUGUCUCAAAAUUAGCAACAGAACAGAACCCUUGAUUUCUAUCCCUUAUCAUGCCUUGGUCCUCUGUCAAUGACAUCCCAACCUUGGAGACAUCUUUGAGGCUUGCUUCUCUUUCCCUCAUUAUUUCACCCAGUCUAUCAGCCAGACUUGCUGGUUCUUCUCCCAAAAUAUACCCAUUCAAUUUCCGCUCCACAGCCAUCACUCUGUUCCAGGCACCAUCUUUGCCUGCCUGGACCAGUGCAAGUGAUUCCUGCCUAAUUGUCCUCCCCCUUUCCAUUCUGUACCCAACAGGCACUGUGAUUAUUUUGAAAUCUAAACCAGCAGCUUGGGCUCCUCCCCUGUGAGGCGGGGAUGAAUGACCGGCAAUGAUGGGAAAGGCAGGGAACAAGUUCUGAGGAGAAGCUCUGAGCUGCAUAGGAACCUCUGUUCCCACUUCUCCCAUCUCCUCCUAUGUGUCUGUGACUCAGGGAACCACCCCAGGCCAGGGAUCCAUGGGAAACUCUGUUUUGACAAUCCCAACAAUAGGUCUUGCAUUGUCCACAAGCGAGCCUGGGGUGCCGUGCCAAGAGAGCUGUGCCAGAGGACUGGGACCAGGAAUGCAGCACUCAGUUCUAAGCUGAGAGGCUGGGAGCUUGGUCCACCCAUAAGGACCUCCUGUAUUCAGAGAAGGAAUAGACACUAGCCCUGUGCUGUAGGGCUGGCAAGUUAGUGGGCUUGAGGACCACGUGGGCACAAAAGGGGUCCACGUACCUGCGGGACUGCAGGCCUGGGGACUUGUUCACAGGGAUUCAAUGAUGUAGUAGGCAGCUCCCAGGGCCCCCAGAGCCACAGCAACAGUCCCGAGGGCUUGGAGCACGCGAAUUACGAUGAGCGGAAUGUUUUCUUGUAGGUCUUCUGCAAAGCAAAGCAGAAAACUCACAGGUUGGGGGCAGCUGGGCUCUAGUGCCUGUCUAUGGGUGGGGGAAGGAGGAAAUUGUGGGGUUCCCUCAGGACUGCAGGAAUACCCUUCUCCCCCCAUAGGUCCUCCUCUCAAGGGAACACAGCUCCCUGCCUCCCUUCCAGUAAAGCUCUCCCACAGGACCUGCCAGGAUCCGAGAAUGGGCUGGCGUCCUGGGAUGCCAUAUCCUCUGGACACUCAGGGAACAGGUCACAAAGGCAGUCAAGGCCGCCACAUGCCAGGCGCUGUACUAAACACCUCACACCCGGAGUCUUCCUCAAGCUUGCCAACAGCCCUGUGAAGCCCAGUCCACCAUGUCGCUCCCUUCUGGAGCUGAGGCAUCGGAGGAAGCCGCAUAUCAUACCCACCACAAAGGUGGUGGAAAAGGGAAGUAUAUGAUUAUGCUAAUUAUUGUGAGGAAGGGUUCCACAAAAUGCAAUAUCCAUUUUGACAAAAAUCCUACCGAAGUAGGGAUUCUUAUUUAAUGGGAAUGUGUAUUUAAAGCCCAGCACCAACCUUCCACUCCACUGGGAAAUGGAAAACUUACGGAAGCAGGUGCUAAACUUGAGCAGAAUUAAGACUACAUGUUUUACCUAGUCAGAGUGGCCUCUGUCCCGCCCCCUCACUUUCCUAAUUCUUGUCCCUUUUCCUCCCCACUAAUGCUCUCCCUUUAAAAUAGGCAACAGAGGAUCCUAAGAUCCUUUCAGAGUCAGCUCAGAUACGACUGGUACUACAAUGUCUGUCUGGAACCCCGCUCAGGAGGGAAGCUCUUUGAAUACCUACAGGACACGCAUCACUUCCUGGCUUGCACCUUUGUUUCUAAAUGUACAUGUCUUAAGUUACCAUGUAGAAUGCAGUUUUUAUGGGUCAAGUUCCCUGUUCUGGUUCCCCUCACGGUGCCUAGCAGCCUAUGCAAAAUAAGCUUUUCCUACUUGUUGGUUUUAAAGUGAUAUGAAUCCCUGGCACAACUUGGCACCAGCUGGACGGAAGUAGUUAAGUGUGCGGAAAGACAGCCGAUAUUGGCGAGUGAGGCGGGGCGGGGACACGCCUUUCCCUGACAGGAGGUAGCCAGGCAGUAGAGUAUCUUUAGCUCUGGCAUGUUCUUCCCACACACGUGGGUGUCUGUUUGCUUCUCUUCUUGUGCCUGAGGGAUGAUGUUUUCAAGGAUGGACAAGACAGGGAGAGGGACGAGGAAGAGGAGCAGGAUGGGGAUGGGGGAUGGGUGGGCUUUGCUUCUGGGUUGGGGGAUCCUCAAGCAGAAAGCCUCUUCUGUGGACAUUUGGGAGACCUGAGUCCAGGCGGAGCCGUUCUGGGGCCCAGAGCUGCGGGUGGGUGGAGGUCUAUCUCCCAGCCCUUGCACACAGCCCUGCACCACUGGGAAAGUGAGGGACAUCUUCAGUCCAGUUCCCUGGACCAGGGGACGUGGCAGCCACCAGGUUGCUCUUGGUGGCUUCGUGGAAGAGGAAAAGAAGGGCAGAUACUGCGGACGAUGCUGUGGGGGCUGCCCGGUCAUGGACAGACCCCCGUGGGGCUGCCAGGAACAGCCUGAGACCCUCUCAAGGGGUGGAGGUCUUACUAUUACCAUUUACAAUUAUAUUUAUCACUAAACUCUGGGGGAAAGUCGUACGCAGUUCAAGAACCAGAAGCUGUCAGUUAUGGCCUAGGCCACAAAAGGAGGUGCUGGCCCAACAGAGCCUUUAAUCACCAAGCUCCUGAGUGACGGGGAAGUCAUGACGGGCUGGAGGGGGGAGAGCUCUGAACAGGGAGGGUGCCUGUGGAGUAAAGAAGCUGAGACCCCCGCAGAAGCAAUCCCCGGUAAGGCAGAGUCUCAGCACCUCUCUGUGCAGGUGGGGCACCUCUGGGUGGGUCUGGUCAGAAAGGGCUGGGCGCCAAAGCCCAGGAAAUGGCCACCGGGAGGGAGAGGCUUUCCUUCUGGCCUAGGAUUCCCAGGAGGAAGUUCCACACGACUGCUAAUGCGAUCCCACGUGGGGCCUGGCCCUGGGAACCGUGUGCCCUGAGGCUCCAGCCCCCCACGCGCUCCAGAACCUGUAGAAGGUGAGGAGGUUUGGGAAUGCUCUCCCUGGCAUGCUUGGCCAGGCCCGAGGCAGAAGGACAUCGAAGAUGCGGCUAUGACACAGGCCCAGACGACGCCAGCAAGCCAAGCUGCCGGGGCAGGUGGAGCAGGAACAGAAGGCACGCGGGCCCGCUCGAGUCAGAGGCCCUGGGUGGACAGAAAAGGAGAAGGGUGUCCACAUGAGGAAUGGUGUGUCUAUGGAGAGAAGACUAACUGCAUGGGAAGCUGGUUGUUUUACAGACCUGGUGCUACCUGGGAAUAAUACUAAUGACACUGACGUCAGAGUGCACGCCUGGAUGGUGCCCCGCACGUCACUAGCCAUCCGUCUACUUGUCAGCCCAGUCCUGAGAAGUGGGAUAUUGUUAUUCUCAGUUUACAAAUAAGGAAACUGAGGCUGAAAGAAUAUGAGAUGUGCCCUGAGAGCAAGGAGAUUGAAGAAGGGGGCUUCCACUCAAGAUUCCUGACUCUCAGUUCGGUGCUCUUUCCAUGGAAUUUGCAGGAGGUGACAGCAGCAGGGAACGCCCAUCCUAUGAGAGGUGGCACUGAGAUUCCUGCAACCAGAGUGGCCAUGUCCCAUUUCUACAGAUACAUCCAUCCGGAAGACAACCGCUGCCCCAGGCUUUCCAAGCCCAUCACCAUUGCUGCCCUGGCUGAGAAGGCCAGCAGAACUUGGAGAUGGCACCCUCUGCUGUUUUGCAAGAGGACCUCUGGCUGGAUCACUCCCUCCUCACGCAGCUGCUUCUGUCCUGGCUUCUUGACAGACCUGUAGAUUCUUCCAACUCUAAGUCCAUGAAGCCAGUGGUCAACUGGGGACAACUCAGCACACUUCAUGCUUAGACCUGCCCACGACAGGAACUUUUCCUGGAAUGGGGAAGGGAGGGAUUCUAAAGGCAAGACUGGUCUUUUUUCUUUUUUAGUUAAAAAAUAAUUUUAACGGACAUACGAUUUCCAUUCCAUAAAAUUUACUCCUUUGAACUGUUCAGUGGCUUUUAGUAUAUUCACAAAGGAAUGCAACCAUCAUCACUCUCUAAUUCUUGGAACUUUUUCAUCUCCUGACAAGGAAACUCCCUACCCAGAAAUAGGCACAGCCUGUUCUCCACUCUCCCCAGUUCCUGGUAAUAGAUCUGCCUAUUCUGGACAUUUCUUAAGUGGAAUCAUACAGU